rnacentral:lncRNA from 1 species
GUUUGACCAUGUUAGGUUUUUCUACCUAACGUUUCCACCUGUGGCCAGCAUCUUCAGAGGACAGGAGCUAGAACUCUGGGUUCUGGUGUAGUGUGUGGGAUAGUUGAGUAUUUUUAGCUGUGGGAUCAGCUUUUUGUCCAUUUCAGGAGAUUGGGUGAUUAUGGUGAUCAGGGUGUUUUUUGUUAUGGGUAUAUUGUUGUGAUAACAAAAACACGCUGAUCACCAUAAUCACCCAAUCUCCUGAAAUGGACAAAAAGCUGAUCCCACAGCUAUAAAUACUCAGUUAUCCUGCAAACUGCACCAGAGCACAGACAGAGUUCUGACUCCUGUCCUCUGAAGAUGCUGGCCACAGAGACUGGUGAAACGUUAGGAAAAAAAAAACUUAAAAAUGGCCAAACAGCUUGAAAAACCUACAACAACCAAAUCUAAUUUACUCUAUCUGAUUUAUACCUAAGCAGAUAGAUAGUGCAUAUUCCAAGCAUUCCCCAGCAUAGAUACGUGAAAUGGCACAUAGAGGUCACCUCACUGCCAACAGGAAGCAAGGCACGGUCUCUGCAGGGGUAUGCUAGGCUCAACGUUCCAUUUCUCAAUUCCCAGUUUAUCCAGAUGAAUGAGCCUUUAGCACCUAUGGCCAACCAGUGCAGCAGUUUCUUUUAAUCUACUUCGAUCAUUCUUGCAAGACCUAAAGCAGCCUUCCUGACAUCCAGAUCUGCAUUCAUCUCUAGGAAAAGAAGUGAGUAGAAGAUAAGUACAGAAGUGGUUCCUCAGUUUUUGAAGUCACCAGAUGGAAGUAGAAGGUGUCAAUUGCCUGUUUACAUUUUGAUCUAUGGUUAAAAGAUUAAGAGCAAGAACCUCCAGCAACGAAUAUGACACCCCAAUAGCCCAUAAUCUUUAAUGCUCGGUUUUGUACUGUAUUUUUCAUGGACCAGGUUUUCCAGGACUUAGAGGAACUCAGUGCUCCAGAUGGGUCCAGCCAAGUUCAACUGGAGAGAAGUAUGUGGCUUUUAUCUCAUCUGGCUGGCUGCAAAAGCUGUUGUCUCAAAUGCCUGUAUGAAUGACCAAACAAGCUGUGUUAGCGCUCCUAUGUCUGUGCAAGAAGGCGAAUCAAUAAAAGUGCCCUUUGGUACCGUUGAAAGAAUCCCGGAUCUGUGCCUUUGGAAUAACUCGACCUCAACAUGGGACAAUGUGUGUCACUUUUCUCUCGGAGUCUGUCAAACUCUCCUCGUUGGCUUCGAAGAGCACAUAUUUUUGGAAAGGAAAGCUCUCACCUUCAAGAACAUAAGCAAACAUGCCAGUGGGAUCUACAGCCUUGUGGACAUCUCUGGACGUUGUGUGGCCUCAAUCCAUGUCUCUGUAUUGGACCGGAAAGAUAUUAAUCUUUCUACUGUUUCACCUACAAAAUCGCAAUCCUCCACCAUCAGAUUAGAAGAACGGAGUGUUAUGAUUUCAGCCUAUUGUCUCCUUUCAGUUCUCGUAUUAGUUAUUCUAGAUUUCCUGCGAACAUAUUAAGGACUGCUCUUUCCCACCCUAAUGAAUGAAUCUUCUUAGGCAUUACUGACAUGUUUGUAAAGCUAUUUUCUUCCUGUGCAAUAAAAAUCAAUUUAUUAUUUAUCCUUUCCA